AUAUAUUGUUGACGUGCAAAAAAAAGAAGUAUGUGUUUUAGUGUACGCGUAUAAAUUGAAAAUGGACCUUUGACAGUUUAAAUUUUCUAUUAUUUGCAGCGGAAUAAGGAAUGAAAAUGACGACAAUAAAUUAUUUAGAUUUAGACAUUAAUAAACUUUUCGAGCAGCAUACGAUAAAAGAAAUUGAGGAAAUUCAAAAGAAAAUUCAAUUAGAAAGUGACCGUAAAAAGAUCGAAUUACGUACUCUGGUUGGAGAAAGAUAUCGUGACUUGAUAUUAGCUGCGGAUACAAUUGGAAAAAUGAAAAUUACCGCAGAAAGGAUCAGUUCAAGAAUAGCAGAAACGGAAGAGAAAUUUCAAGAGCUUCAAGAGAAAUAUCUCAUUGGUUUUAAAACAGAUUUUGUCGAGAAUGAACCUGACAGGAAAUCCGAAGAAAUGGCUGCUGUUAUUAUUCAAAUAAAAAUAUUAAUGGACAUUCCAGAAUUUGUUUGGUCUAAUAUCGAAAGCCAAAAUUUAUUGUAUGCUACUCAAUUGUUUAUCUUAGCGCAACAUAUUAAGUAUAGAUUAAAAUUUGAAAUAGGUAACGAGGAAUUAACUUCAAAAUAUCCAAUAGUAUUUAAACAAUGGGAUAUUAUAGGUCAAUUUAAAAAUAUUAUAUUAAGAGAAUGCGAUACGAUAUUGCGAUCAUGGAAUGUAUCAAUCGAGAGUGCGGCAAACUGUUUAGCAUCGCUUAUACUAUUAAAUAAAACCCCAUAUAAGGAUUUAUUAGAGAAAUUAAUAUUUACCAGAUGUCGUGCCGUUGAAUCUAUAAUCAAGGAUGAAAAUGAUUAUAACGUUAAGACAAAGAUAAAACUCUGUAUAGAAAUGCUAAUUCAUACUAUCACAUUAAUUUAUGCUUGUUUUAUAACUGCUGGAGGUAAACAAGAAGGUUUAGUUUCGCAAUAUAUCGCACUGAUAAAGGAUGAAAAAGUAUAUUCGUUACUUUCAAAGAUCGAUGCGAACAAAGAUUUGAUAAAGAAAUAUUUAUCAUCUGUUAUAACAAAUGAGAAACCAUUUUUACAAGAAGGAGAUGAUAAAUUUUCUAUAUUAGAUCUACAAGAAUGUGUUAAAGCAUGGCUGAAUUGGCUUAAAGAAUUUUGUAAUAACGAAGUCGUUAAAUUAUUUCAAUUAAUAAUUUCUGUGAAAGGUUUAUACAGUAUACGGGAGGAGGCUGUUGGAAUUAAUUUACCAGAAAAUUGGAACAUCAUAUGGGAGGACUUUGGUUUACCAAAUAUAAGUUAUUGGUUAGAAUUUUUUCAACCACUUUUAAGUCAAAGAGCAAAAAAUAUCAUACAUGAUAAAUGGUUGGAAGCUACAAGAAAUCUAAAAACUAAUAUAUCUGAUAUGUUAAACAAAGUAACCAGAGAAAGAUGUGAAUUUCCUGAACACGAUUUACGAUGGUUCGUUUGGAAGGAUUCUCCAAGCGAUAUACCACAGAGAUUAACACACAAUAUUGUAUUGGAUAGCAAACGAUCCUUAUUAAUGAAAACUAAAGGAUAUUCUCCUAACGUGGUACAACUUUGUGAAGAUUUUGACAAUAGUUUAUGCGAAUUACUUUCAGACUUAGAACAGUAUUUGUAUGAUACUGUAUGCAAUUUAAAUAUCAAAGAUAAUUUAUUAUCUAAAAAUAUAUCCGUAAUACCUAAUACGUUUUCCGAUCGAGCCGAGAUUCAAGAUCAUUUGCAAAAUGUUAGUACAACUAUGAUAGAAGAUUUUAUACGAUACGUUAAGGAUACGUAUAUCGAUAACAAUACCAAUCAUAAUCAACAAGAAAUAAAUACGAUAGUAUUGGCGAGGCUUCUUAUGGCAUUUACCUCGUUAUCUCCUAAUUUAAAUAAAUGUUUUAAUUUAUCUAAGGCAACUGGAUUGUCUAUAACAAAUACGAAAUGGCAAACGAUAGUCGAUACUCUUAAAGAAGAAAGUAUUUCUAUAUGGUCCGUUUGGGCCAAUAAAUACAGAAAUAAAUUGAUCGAUCAUAAAGAAAAAUAUAUGUCAAAAGAAUUAUUUGAUAGUUUAAAAAUAAAAUCAGUUUUAUCAGAUUGGGAAAAGGUAAUGAUCGAAGAAGAAUCUGGGGAUGGUAAAACAUUGAAAACUGAAAUAUUAGUGCCGUAUCAACCAUCAAUAAUGCUACAGAAAUUUUUAAUGGCAGUGAUCAAGGAUUUAAAUAAAAUAAUACCACAUACCAUUCCAAAAAAAGUACUUUACGAGAUUAUCGAAGCCGUAGCAUCAGAAUUAUUCAAUUAUUAUCAAGAAACAUCCAACAUUGUUAAUCUUAAACAAAAACAAGCAUUGCAAAUAGUAUUCGACAUUAAAUAUUGUACUUUACUUAUGGUACCAAGAGAGAACAAACACUUAAACGAAAUGUCAUCGAAAGCUACAGACAGUGCACUUUCUAAAAUAGAUCCGUUCGAUUAUAACGUUAUCAAUCCAUUCAUUCACACAAACGUAAAGAAAAGCGUUUUGAGAUCUUUGCUUUUGCUUGGAAAUUUAAUACCUCAUUUGGAACAACUUCAUUCGGUUCUCGGUGCACGCAGCGAAUACAAUGCUGGAGAAGGAAAUAAAUUAGAUUCUCCAGCAUUGCUUGCACUAUGUACAGGUGCACCAUGGUUCCCUCCUCUUGCCAUAACAGUACCAAUGAGAAAUUUAUCUCUAGUAACAACAACGAUACAAGAUAAAACUCAGCGCAAGAAAGUAACGACAGCGAAGGAUAAUACAAAAACCGAAUCUACUGGAUCUACGAUAAAAUCAGGAGCAGCAGCAUUUUUUGGAGCAAUGGGUUCGGAUUGGUUCAGUGCUAGUUAAAUAAUAAAAAAAAAUAUAUAUAUAUACAUAAGUAUAUAUAUAUAUAAAAGAAAUAUAUAAAUCCUUUUGUAAAAGAAGAUGACGAUUGUGAUAAAAGAGAGAUAAAAAUUCGCGCCUAUAGUAGUUAUCGAAAGGGCCGCCAGAGGGCGCCAAAGUUCCUAUAAAGUAAUACACAUAUGAAGAUGUCGCUCUAGUUGUCAAUUGUAAGUAGUCAGACAUUUAUGAAGAUGGCCGAAUGGGUCCAUC